rnacentral:tRNA from 1 species
CGGGACCUGCCGCGCCAGGACGGCGGCCGGUGCUGCCCGCGCCGAAACGGGCCGUCCCGGCGCGGCCCGUUUCGGC